CGGUUUUCCUAUAAAAAGCCCGACAAUCCCUGCAGCCUUCUCUUUGGCUGAACUUUUCUAGAAAGGUCUAGAAGUGCGCGCGUGUGUAGUUUUCUUUAAAGUGAGAGGUUCAAUUAGUAAAAUAGUUCAUACAAAGUUCGUUAGUAAGGUGUUAGUCGCUGUAAAAUUGUUAUAAAAAUUUAUAGUUAAAACACGACACAAAGCAAACAACAAAAACGAACACGUUAAAAAGCAACAAGAAAAAGGUCCAAAGUAUGGGCCUUUUUCUGUAUUUUUGGAAUAAUCCCCAGCAACCUCGGUGGCGAGAAUGGCGACAGGAGGUCGGUAUCAGCAGCGCACCGCAAUAUGCUUCAGCCAAAGCCGCCAUUGUUAUGGCAUCCAUGUGGCUCAACGCAACGGAGCCCAACAUUUCGACCAGACGUCCGGUAAUUUCACCGAUGUUCGCCAACGCCUGCCGCUGGAGUCAAACCACGCUUCCGAGGCCGCUUUCCGCCAUCUCCGUCGGCAUCUGCUAGACUGGCUCAACGUAGACCGCUCUUCUAGGUUACAGAGCGAGCUACCCGUAUGCGGAACCGGAGGUUCCCCCAAAACCUAUCGACCGACCACAACCGCAAGUAUAAAACCCCCUGCAAAACUGACGUCACAACAAUAAAACAGAGGAGGUCGUAAAACUGA